UGGUUUCCCUAGGUGUCUGAGUCGCUGCUCCCCACAGCCCUCUGUAGCCCCAUUGGCAGAUGGGCGAGCCCCUCCCCUGUUCUCUCCCCUGUUUAUAAACUGUUGCACAGCCCCCUCCUCCGUUUUCUGUCGACUGGAAUGUCUUGUUUUUUGGUCUGUCUGCUGCUCUGCCUAAAUAAACAUGGAUUGAACCUGAGGAGGUCUCCUUCUUUCUUCUGCCUUCCAUCACAUUGUCUCGCCUGUGCAAGGCAAAAGCCUUCGCUGCCCUCCCAGCCUCCAGAGGAACAGGAGAGUGUCCCCCACCAUCGGCUGUGCCAGAGUGAGCCGGGACAGUCCAAGUGGAUUCUUGGAGGGGCACAGCAACAGUUGCUAAAGUAUGUAAGCUGUUAUUUUGAGUAGGACUAUUGUCUGUGAGUUGUCAAAAAUUCAAGGAUCUUGGGAAUAUCCUCUCUACAGGGAAUAACGGUAUGGAUUUCAGUUGGAUGAAGGCAAGGUCUGGUUCUCUGUUGCAGGAGCUCCUAUGAAAUGAGCUGGAAGCCUGGGCCAACUUUUCCUUUUCUUGAAAGCUGCAUUUAUGCUGGGAUAGUACUCCUGGUCCCCGUCUGUGCUACAGUGGAACUGCAACUGCUACUGGUUUGCCUCCCUGACCAUGACUGUGACUCUGUGGUUUAACUUCCUGGCUUUCCUUCAGAUUUGCCUCUUCACUGCAGUCUUACUGGAUGAACACUGGAGUUUCUCUGAUCUGAUCCCUGUUCCUGAACCUGGUCCCAGCACAGACCUUCAGCUCAGCGUCCCUGCUUCUUGUAGGUGCAGCCAUUGCUCCUUUCUACUUUGCUACCAUGCUGAGCUCUCAGUUUACGUUGUCUUAACAGACAAUCCUCACUUCUCUUGGCCGUUUUGUACUUUGCUCUCAAUCAUGCAUCAAUUUGUCAAACAGCUUUACAUCAUGAAAGUCACCUGAGAAAACAGGUGAUUUGCACGUAUCUGGGGGAGGUUCAUAAUGCAGGGGAGUAAUUUUUAUUUCUCACCGGGCAAUAGGAGCCUUCUGUGAUGUAACUAGUGAAUAUCCAGUUUUACCAGUCAUAUCUGGAAGAAGAGAACGUUUGUCCUCAGAUCACAGAAUUUGUUCAUAUAAAGGAACAAAGAAAAAGACCAAGUGCCAGCAAUACAGCAAACUCAAGAAUAUCUGUGUUUCCCAGAUCCUUUGAGUACUGUGGUUCUUUCAUUCACUCAAGGACAGUAAAGCUUAUUAUUGUUCUCUUAGGUUCAAUCAAAAUAUUUCAAAGAUGAUAAUUCAGUGGGAGUGAAGCAAAAGGACCUGUCUGAAUAGCUACUUAUUAUGCAGAGCUGUGGUGUCAUGACUGCUUUAUUUGAUCUGCUGUAUCUUCCAGUGAAAACUUGAAGAUAAAUCCCAAAAAAUGGCCUAGGAUAGGGGCACUGAGAAUCUUCGUUUUUACAUCUAGUUCUUAAAGAAUUGUGGUAGGUUUCCACACCCACUUGAUGAAGAGAUGUAAGUGCUUCAGAAUUAGGUUCAAAAGAGCCAACAUCUGACCCAACUUCAAACUGCAAGGCUGUAAAAUUGCCCAAUGGUACCCAACAGCAACAAGAAAAUGAAUCAAAAUUAAUUGAACUGUAAAACUUUAAUCACCUCACAAACUCUUUUGCUGAAGAUUUUUUGUUGGUUUUUGGGGUUUUUUUGGUUUUUCAUGAGCUAGAACAGAUUCUGAAACUCAAGUCCCUGAGCAGCCUUAGAUAGAAUUGAACCAAAUAUAUAUUUUCAGCUAUCACUUCAGAAGGGAAAUACAGCUCAAAGUUUGUAAACUUGUAUGUUUAAUAAUGUUAGCCCUAAAAACUUUCUCUGACAAUUAAUGAACAUUUUAGGAUUCGUCUUGUCUUUCCUGAUAGAUUAGUUUUCCAUCCCCCAUAAGAGGAGUAAUUAUUCUCUACUUUCUUGCCUUUCCUUCCUUACUGAGUGUGUUAAGAAGGCAAGAAAUUUAGGAAACAAUGAAGGAUCCAUGUCAAAAUGCAAGAAGUCAUGUGAUGAUGCAUAAAGAAAGUUCAUACUGGGACCAGAGUUGUGUUUUUUCUUCAAGUUUUUAAAAGUUCUGUUUUAUUAAUUGUAAUGGGAGGGCUCAAUUUCUCUUCUGUCCUGUCAGAUUUCUAAUCCACUUAAAAACUCUUAAUUCUUUAAAGUUAUAUUAAUCAAUUGCUUAUUUAGAAUUUAAAUUUACACCAUUAUUUCUACUUUAUUUUUUUGAAAUUUGAAGAGAAAUCUGUAGUUUGCAUAUAAAAUUAAUUGAAAACACACUAUCUAUGCUAUGGCAGCUAUAUAAAAAUUUCUGUAGUUUUCAUCAUGUAAUAUUUAAGAUUCACUUUUUUGUGUCAGAAGACUAAUUUACAAAAAUUAUCAGGGGUAAAAAUAAGAGAAUAUUAUAUAUUACUGGAAGUCUCUGGAGAAAGAAAUAAAAUCUUCAUAAAAAUAUCUGAAUUUUUCUUUAGUACUUUAUAUGGUUCAGUUGAUCUUCUAAUUCUCAUAAUUAAGAUUAAAAUUAUGCUAAAUAAGAAGCAUGUAAGUCUCUCCCAGCUCAGGAUAUUCUAUGAUGCUAUGAGGCUGAUCUGUUUAGUUUGAAGAUUGGAAGCUGCUUUUCUGGGUUUAUAUUAUUUACAGAGUUUAUUUUGUCCACUUGUUAAAAAUAAGUGUUUCUGAGAAUCAUUUCUGUCUCAGUUAAAAGGAAGCCAAUCUUCUUUAUCUAAUCAUUAAUGUUAAUUGUGCCUUUAGUUAAAAUAUAUUUUAGUUCUUUCACUUUUCCCUUUUGUUCCUCUAAAUAAUUUAACAGAAGUGUGAAAGAUUAAUAUUUCCAUAUAAUUCAGCAUCCACGUCUGUACCUAUUGCUACAUAACUAUUCUGUAUUCAAAGUUUUUUGAGAAUGUUGUCCCUAGUUAGAACAAUGAUGAAUUUUUAAAAUGAUAAUGUAAUAUGAACUGACUCCCAUGUAUUAUACAACAAUAAAACUAUGAUGAAAAAUAAAAAGAAUAUGAUUUUUAAGCUUGUAGAAUCAUAACUAAAGAAACUGAUUAAACUGCCAUGCAGGUUGACUAAAAACAGUGUGUUUAAAGUGAAUACCUAAGAAUGUAAAAUAAAAUGUUUUAUUAGUA